GACGAACGCUGGCGGCGUGCUUAACACAUGCAAGUCGAACGGAAAGGCCCUGCUUGUGUGGGGUGCUCGAGUGGCGAACGGGUGAGUAACACGUGAGUAACCUGCCCUUGACUUUGGGAUAACUUCAGGAAACUGGGGCUAAUACCGGAUAGGAGCUCCUGCUGCAUGGUGGGGGUUGGAAAGUUUCGGCGGGUGGGGAUGGACGCGCGGCUUAUCAGCUUGUUGGUGGGGUAGUGGCUUACCAAGGCUUUGACGGGUAGCCGGCCUGAGAGGGUGGCCGGCCACAUUGGGACUGAGAUACGGCCCAGACUCCUACGGGAGGCAGCAGUGGGGAAUAUUGCACAAUGGGCGGAAGCCUGAUGCAGCAACGCCGCGUGCGGGAUGACGGCCUUCGGGUUGUAAACCGCUUUCGCCUGUGACGAAGCGUGAGUGACGGUAAUGGGUAAAGAAGCACCGGCUAACUACGU
rnacentral:rRNA from 1 species